AUUGAACGCUGGCGGUAUGCUUAACACAUGCAAGUCGAACGGUUGCAGGCCUUCGGGCGCUGACGAGUGGCGGACGGGUGAGUAACGCGUAGGAAUCUGCCUCAUAGUGGGGGACAACGUGGGGAAACUCACGCUAAUACCGCAUACGCCCUACGGGGGAAAGCGGGGGCUCUUCGGACCUCGCGCUAUGAGAUGAGCCUGCGUUAGAUUAGCUAGUUGGUAGGGUAAAAGCCUACCAAGGCGACGAUCUAUAGCUGGUCUGAGAGGACGAUCAGCCACACUGGGACUGGGACACGGCCCAGACUCCUACGGGAGGCAGCAGUGGGGAAUAUUGGACAAUGGGCGCAAGCCUGAUCCAGCAAUACCGCGUGUGUGAAGAAGGCCCUAGGGUUGUAAAGCACUUUCAAUUGGGAGGAAAACCUGCCGGUCAAUACCCGGCAGCUUGACAUUACCUUUAGAAGAAGCACCGGCUAACUCCGUGCCAGCCGCCGCAGUAAGAC
rnacentral:rRNA from 1 species